GAGGUUGUGGCUCAGAGGUAGAGCACUUGCCUAGCACGUGCGAGGGUCUGGGUUCGAUCCUCAGCACCACA
rnacentral:tRNA from 1 species